rnacentral:rRNA from 1 species
UGCUCUCUGGGUGGCGAGUGGCGGACGGGUGAGGAAUGCAUCGGAAUCUACUCUUUCGUGGGGGAUAACGUAGGGAAACUUACGCUAAUACCGCAUACGACCUACGGGUGAAAGCCGGGGACCUUCGGGCCUGGCGCGAAUGAAUGAGCCGAUGCCCGAUUAGCUAGUUGGCGGGGUAAGAGCCCACCAAGGCGACGAUCGGUAGCUGGUCUGAGAGGAUGAUCAGCCACACUGGAACUGAGACACGGUCCAGACUCCUACGGGAGGCAGCAGUGGGGAAUAUUGGACAAUGGGCGCAAGCCUGAUCCAGCCAUACCGCGUGGGUGAAGAAGGCCUUCGGGUUGUAAAGCCCUUUUGUUGGGAAAGAAAAGCAGCUGGUUAAUACCCGGUUGUUCUGACGGUACCCAAAGAAUAAGCACCGGCUAACUUCGUGCCAGCAGCCGCGGUAAUACGAAGGGUGCAAGCGUUACUCGGAAUUACUGGGCGUAAAGCGUGCGUAGGUGGUUGUUUAAGUCUGUCGUGAAAGCCCCGGGCUCAACCUGGGAAUUGCGAUGGAAACUGGGCGACUAGA